GUACUCGCUUCGGCGGUACAUAUGUUAUACUAAAAUUGGAACGAUACAGAGAAGAUUAGCAUGGCCCCUGCGCAAGGAAGACACGCAAAAUCGUGAGGCGCCUCGGUAGCCGAGCGUUUUA
rnacentral:snRNA from 1 species